UCUUCAUAUUCAUGAUGAACACAUGUAAUUCUUGGUGGAUCUCGAGCAAAUAAGAGCUCUCUCUCCCACACUGGUAGAAUAGAUGGUGCAUGUGCGCCUCUUGCCAUCUCCGCAAUGGCGGUCAGGAACAGGAGCAAUCCAGGUGCAUCGCACAUUGUGUGGUUUAUGCGCAAUGCAAGUAUGAAACCUCCACAUAUAAGACAUGUCACCUGUAUAUUGCAAAAGUUAGUUACUAGACUUUUUUCUUGAUCAUCAUAUUCAUGCUAGUUAACAAUUCUUUAAAAGAAAAGACAAAAAAAAAAAAAAAAAAACACCAUCUAAAUUAGAUGAUCUAAUUAGGAAACAAAAAUUUCAAAAAAAUUAGGAAUAAAAUUCAAGAAAGAUGGAGUCUCUUUGAAAGAGUCUUGUGCAUGUUAUAGUUACUUGAAAGAGUCUUUAAAUAUAGAGGAAUUUAGACAAAACGCUUAUAGAAGAAAAAAUUUAGACAGAAGACAAAGAGGACGACAUGACGACAGGCAAAAGACCUAGAAGAAGAACGGCAAAGAAAACCUACACAAUAAGGGUGAUGUAAGAUUGGUAGAAAACCUAGGACCUAAUUAGGCAGAUACCAUGUAGAAAUAUAAUUUCCUCUAUUCGGUGUGUAUACAAAUUUUACAAUGUAUAGGGUUAAACAUAAGGAUUGUCGAAGAAAAAUUAGUUUCGAAAAAUAAUGAAAAGCGUCUCAUAAUCUUUUCUUUCCAAAACCACCUAAUGACUUUCUUUAAUCAUAAGAACAAAAAGGCGUGGUAGUAUCGUAGAUAAGUUCAAGUUUGGGUGUGGUGGCAAUAUGAUAAAUUUUCGUUUAUGAAAAUGAUUGCCAAUUUUAUGAAAAAAGUUAAAAACAGUUGCGGUGCCACCAAACUUCAACUUAUUUACAAUAUUGUUAGUGCUUUCUUGUUUAUGUCCUUAUUUGUCAUUAAAAAUUUCAUAUGUUGUUGAUUGCACUAAAUUCUUACAAAAAAUCUUCGACGUGUGUAUGCGACCUUAACGCAAAAAACACUACUCAUACCCUUAACCUACUUCAAAGUUUUUGUAAAGAAUUCAUGGUUAUGACCAAAUAUGAAUACGAAAAACUAAUUAACAUAUUAUUAUUCACUCACCUGAACCAGCAGCAAAGGACAACUAAUAAUUCUAUCAGAGCCUGGAAAAUUAUACAAGAACUCCUCUAAGGGUGGACAAUGGGGUAGAAUUUUUUCUCCUAGUUGCUCAAGUGUGACAUCAGCAAAAGCCUCGAUGAACAAGAUACCUUCACCAUUGCAAUCGACCAUGAGCUUUCUGUUAGGCCCUUCCCUAAGCCUUCCAGCUAAAGGGUAGUAAUACACUAAUGCUCUACUUAAGGCUUCCCUGAUCACCUUAACGGGAUUAUGAUGUUUAUUAAGUGAAGGGUUGUCUUUGUAACACAUUAUGAUUGGAACCUGAAAUCUCAAACCUUCUUGGUCGUCCAUAUCUGAGAGAAACUUUGUUUCAUGAGGCGUUGGCUUUGCCGGAGUUAUAAGUUCUGGUUGCAAUCGUUUCACCUGAAUUACUGAGGAUGGCAUCAUUUCAAUAACGAGCUUAAGAACCAACAAAAGAUCAAAGGAUUUGGAACUCUUACUUUGUGGUAUGCAUGCUAACUAGAAGUUGAUAGUCGGUACUUAUAUAGCGUUAUGCAGAUGCUCUAGGGUACCCGAAUCUUCCGUCCAUGUUUCCACCCGUUGUGAAUGUGAUUCUUUUCUUUUCCAUUAAACAUGUUGUUUAGACUUCUUGUUUAUCAAAAGAUCUGAGCGUGCCACUGUUAUCUUUUUGUAUAAUAGAUUGUUGUAUAGGUGUGAAUUACGUCAAUUACUUGUGCUUCAAGUUAUUUAGACUUCUUGUUUAUCAAAGGAUUGUCAUAGAUGCGUUAAGUCUGUAUAAGGUUAUUUUCCUGCCUUGUAAAUAAUGACUUUUACUUAUAACAUUGUAUGUCCAAAAUGAAGGGAGUUCAGGGCUCUUCCAACCAUUUCCUUAAUCAAAGUUUGCUUUAAUGAAAACAAGUUCAUUAACUUAUCCAGAUUUGAUUAUAGAUGAAACUUUUGAGUGGAAAACAGUCGAAAAUGACUUAAAUACAUGAAGAAAAAUGCAUUAAACAACAAAUCUACUAUUUAUAAGUACAAACAAAAGAGAUUCGGGCAACAUUUAACCUUGUCAGGCAAGGUUGAACUUUUGCAACCACUUUACUUUGUGUUUUCAGGGGUUUGUAUACUGUCAGGGAUGAAAAGUAAAUAGGUUUUACUAGAGGGAAUCGAUGUUACAACACUAAGGGAAUGUAGCAGAGCUUCUAAACUCGACAAAAGAUGGCUUUCUAUAAGGGAACUACAGCUAAAAAGGACAAAAUCUGGACAAAUUGCAACUUUCUGGGUACGAACUUGUUUGAGAGCAAAGUUUGUAUGUCUUUUGAUUGAUUGGCUGAGUGUCCUUGUCUCUGGUGUCCCUCUAUACUUUUAUAGACAAUAUGGCCCAACUGUCCAAGCCUUGCCUUUAGCUGAUAGUUCUCGGAGGGCAGUGAGUCAUCACCUAUUUACUCAUCCAUACCCUUGAAAAGUGUUUUUUGGUUAGUGGUGAGGUGCCCUUUGUUGCCCAUCACUUCAAUCAUAGGCAUAUGGCCUAUGCCUAUGUUGAAAUAGCUUCCAAUUCUUCUCAUACCUAUUGGCUUGUCUGAGUCCAGACUUUUCCUUGCUUUUGCAUCUUUGGGCCUCCAUUAUAACAAAGCCCAAAGUCAAAUAUAAACCCAAACACAAGGAACUAACAAAUUACAUGGAACUUUUUAUUUAGAGCCUUGAUGGGCAUAUACAUGCCCUGUUUUUCCUCAGCCUGUUUACUUGCUUGAAAUUUCAUAUGCAAACAUUGCUUUGCUUCCCUCUUUUCAUUUUGGAUUUGACGGCUUGGCUACAUAGACUUUUUUUUGGGCAUGUGACUUUCUUGUUGUUCAAUUUUGUGUGAACAUUGUAAUUUACUUUAUUAUGUUUUCGGUUUGGUAGGUCGCUUAAGCUAUAUACUUGAAUUAGUGAAACUUGCUCGAUGAUGUGAACUUGAAAUACCUAUUAAUCAUAUAAGCAAACCCAAUUUUAACUUGCAAUUUUAACUUGCAAACCCAAUUAAUCAUAGUAAGAGCAAGUAUGAAGUCGUUCCCACGAGUAGGUUUUUACUUUAAUUUGAGUCUCAACUCAAAUUCAACAAACUUUUAAUACAAAUAGGGCUGAAAAUUUUACCUAGAAUGAAAGAGCCAAGGAGAUCUCAAACCCAAAAUCACGAGUAGGUGGGAAGAAUAUUUGAGUGCUUGUAAUUGUUUCUACAUAUGCUUCUACAGUAAUCAAGGAUCCUAUCAUUGUGCGUGAUUAGUUUACUUUUGUGUUCUUGAUCGCAUAUAUAUCAUUUUGCACUCAUUGGUUUGAGGAAAUUAAGGCUCAGACUUCGUGAUAUUUUCAUGGUUCUUUAAGAAAUCCAUUGAAAUCUUACUAAAUUGUCUAACAAAUGAGCAAUUUGAUUCUUACUGUUGGAGGAAAGAUUAGCAGUUUUCAAUUACACUGCAGAAAGGAAGAAUACAAGAGAAUAUAUAUGGAGGAUGACUGGAUGAGUUUUGAAUGGGAACUAAAAUUUACAUAACUUUAUUGCUUUUAGAUUUUUAUUACAACACUUGGCCAUCUUAUUGGCUAUCUAUAUUAACAUUCAGACCUUUAGAUGACAGCCAUAACUCUUGGAUUAGUUUCAAGAGACACAACUCUACAUUACAGAAAGUGCAUUACGUUUAACACUUACAUCAUUGACAUGAUCCUAGUUGAUCUAAGGUUGUUACAUAUAUCCUCCUUAGGUUCCUGAGUAAUCCUCUCUAGUUCCUGCUGAAAUCUCUCCAUGGCCGAGAAUGGCAAGCACAUUGGUACCAAUAUUCCAUCCUCAGUGUUGUUUUUGUGUUGAAUGUAGAAGCUAAUCAAAUCCAUGGCCUUGGCGGGUCCAGCAAAUACUGGCUGUCCCCAUCCAAAAUUGACAUCUCCAACACCUACACGAGUUAGAUCAGAAACUAAAAAAUUACUUCCUGUCGAUGAAUAUUGAGGUCGCCCUCUUAGUACCAAAAGAUCUGCCACUGAUCUUAAGUAUUCUUCAUUCAUGGUAGCUUUAGCCUUCUUCACCAACUCUAAAGCAUAUCCCAGUGGAUUUUUGCAUAGAAGUUCAGCCUUUGAAAUUGCAGCUGGAAAUGCAAAUGCAUUGCCAUAGUAUCCCAAGGGAAGACGUACAUUGUGGUGCUUUCCCCGUGCAUUGACAAUGCAGGAAACUCGAACAGCCUGUUUUGGAUUAACUUUAAGUGCAAGAGUGCGACAUUUCCACAGACAAGCUAUGAUCAAGUCAAAUGUGGAGCAAGUGGAAAUUAGGUGGGGUGGAAUCUAUUUUCGAAGGACUCUCAUCUCCUUGGCACCAAAGUAGAAGGAUCGUUGAACCAUGUUUGACUGGUUACUGGAUGCGUAUGAGCCAUCAGAAUGAUCAAUCACGUCUUCAUAUUCAUGAUGAGCACAUGUAAUUCUUGGUGGAUCUCGGGCAAACAAGAGCUCUCUCUCCCACACUGGUAUAAUAGAUGGUGCAUGUAUUACGCCUCUUGCCAUCUCCGCAACGGCGGUCAGGAACUGGAGAAAUCCAGGUGCAUCACACAUUGUGUGGUUUAGGCGCAAUGCAAGUAUGAAACCUCCACAUUUAAGACGGGUCACCUGCAUAUUGAAAAAGUUAGUUACUAGACUUUUUUCUUGAUCAUCCUAUUCGUGCUAGUUAACAAUUCCUUAGAAGAAAAGACCCAAAAAACUAUCUAAAUUAGAUGAUCUAAUUAGGAAACCAAAAUUUCAUAAAAAUCAGGAAUAAAAUUCAAGAAAGAUGGAAUCUCUUCGAAAGAGUCUCGUGCAUGUUGUAGUUACUUGAAAAAGUCUUUAUAAUACAGAGGAAUUUAGACAAAAUGCUUAUAGAAGAUAGAAAAGCGAAAAACCUAGAAGAAGAACGGCAUAGGAAAACCUAUGCAAUAAAGGUGAUGUGAGACUGAUAGAAAACCUAGGACCUAUUACCAUGUAGAAAUGUAAUUUCCUCGAUUCGGUGUGUACACAAAUUUUAAAAUAUAUAGGGUUAAACAUAAGGAUUGUCGAAGAAAAAUCAGUUUCGAAAAAUAACAAAAAGCGUCUCAUAAUCUUUUCUUUUCAAAACCACCUAAUGAACUUUCUUUAAUCAUAAGAACAAAGAGGCGUGGUAGUAUUGUAGAUAAGUUCAAGUUUGGGUGUAAUGGCAAUAUGAUAAAUUUUCAUUUAUGAAAAAGGUUGCCAAUUUUAUGAAAAAGUUAAAAACAGUUGCGAUGCCACCAAACUUCAACUUAUUUACAAUAUUAUUAGCGUUUUCCUGUUUAUGUCCUUAUUUUCAGUAAAAAUUCAUAUGUUGUUGAUUGCACUAAUUUCUUACAAAAAAUCUCCGGUGUAUGUAUGUGAUCUUAACUCAAAAAAUACUACUCUUACCCUUAACCUACUUCAAUUUUUUUGUAAAGAAUUAAUGGCUAUGACCAAAUAUGAAUACGAAAACCUAAUUAACAUGUUAUUAAUAAUUAAUUGACUCACUUGAACCAGCAGCAAAGGACAACCAAUAAUUCCAUCAGAGCCUGGAAAAUUAAAUAAAAACUCCUCUAAGAGUGGACAAGGGGGUAGAAUUUUGUCUCCUAGUUGCUCAAGUGUGACAUCAGUAGAAGCCUCGACAAACAAGAUACCUUCACCAUUGCAAUCGACCAUGAGCAUUCUGUUAGGCCCUUCCCUUAGCCUACCAGCUAAAGGGUAGUAAUACACUAAUGCUCUACUUAAGGCUUCCCUAAUCACCUUAAUAGGAUUACGAUUUUCAUUAAGUGAAGGGUUGUCUUUGUAACACAUUAUGACUGGAAGCUGAAACCUCAAGCCUUCUUGGUCAUCAAUAUCUGAGAGAAACUUUGUUUCUUGAGGCGUUGACUUUUCCGGAGUUAUAAGUUCCGGCUGCAAUCGUUUCACCUGAAGUACUGAGGGUGGCAUCAUUUCAGUAACGAGCUUAAGAACCAGCAAAAGAUCAAAGGAUUUGGAACUCUUACUUUGUGGUAUGCAUGCUAACUAAAAGUUGAUAGUCAGUACUUAUAUAGCGUUAUGCAUAUGCUAGGGUUCCGAAUCUUGCGUUUAGGGUGCGUUUGGUAUGUGGGACGGGACGGGACGGAACGGGACGAGGCGUUCCGUCCCGCGUUUGGUGCGCCAAAAAUGGGUGGAACGGGCUGUUCCACGGGACAUAUUUUGGGUGUUUUUGCGUCUCACCUCCCCCCUGGAACGGGUUUGUUCCACGUCUGUGGAACACAAUGUUUUACCAUUUUAAGACAAAUAUACCCCAUGUCUUUUUCAAAAAUUACACCUUCGUUCCGUCCCGUCCUGUCCCGUUCCGUCUCGUUCCGUCUCGUCUGCGUACCAAACGCACCCUUAAGUUUCCAUCCGUUGUGAAUGUGAUUCUUUUCUUUUCCAUUAAACAUGUUGUUAAUUUUUAGAAAGAAACGCUUAAAUCACGCAAUCAACAUGGACUGCAAAGACAAACGUGUUGUUGAGAGUUAUGUGCAUGGGACCGUUUCACAGUGCACACCACAGAUUCAUGCAUAUACAUUAAUACUGAAUAUUAUUUCACCAUCAGAAAACUGAAUACUAACAGGAUAUGAGGACAGGUGUGCGGUAGAAAAGCUUUGAUAGGGAUGGAAGUAAAAAGGCCAACAUCGUAGUACGUACCUGCCGCAAUUACAGUUAUCGUUGGACCCGGCUUCUCUGCCUCUCAUUUUUCAUAUAUUUCUAUCUCCUCUUAUUUGUACAGUCACAAUUAAAUCACGUUAACAUUUUAUAUUACUAUUAUUUUUUAUUUUAUUAUAUUUUAAAAAAAAUUAAUAUAAAAUAUUAACGUAGCUUAACCGUGACUGUACAAAAUAGGAAGGAAUAAGAAUGUAUAGAAAGUGGGAGGGUAGAGAAGCCGGAUCCUUAUUGUGAAGCAUCGAACGUCUGCUAUAAAGGAAAACAAUGUUGUUUUAUAAUGUCUGGCAUAUAAGCACGGGAGAAUAUUGUUUCACAUUAUUAUUAAUUUUGACUGAACUGGUGACUACUUAAUUAUGAGUACAGAUUCUUUUCGGAUCUAAAAAAAUUAAGUUUAAGGAUCAAAUCAUUCGAACUGUUGAAAUUUGAUCCAACAGCUACAAAUAAGAGAUCUCUCUAAAAGUUAUAAUAAUUGUAGCCGUUGAAUUAAAUUUCAACAGUUAAGAUCAUUUGAUCAGUAGGCUUAGGGGGUGUAUUCAAUUGGGAUUUUGAGGGAUUUUAAUUCUUUUAAUGAAUCCAGGGGGUAUUCAAUUAGGAUUUUAAGUGAUUCUCUAAAAUUCAAUGUGUAUUCAAUCAGGAUUUUAAGAUAAUUUCUUAAAAUUCUUAGAAACCCUGGUGUAUUCAAUUAGAAUUUUAAAAAAGUUUAUAACAUUCCAGGUGUAUUAUAUUAGAAUUAGAAUUUAAAAAAUUUAGAAAAGUUGAGGAAUUUGAGGGAAUUUGAGAGAUUUUGUAGUGUAUUUUAAGCAUCUACAAAUCUCACCUCUUCCCAUGAGAUUUUAAGGGAAUUGAAUCAAAAUUUUAUAUGGAAUAUCUACAAAUUAGUUAAACUCCAUAAAAAUUCAUGGAUUUAUAAAUCCAUUAAAAUCUAUCAAAUUCCCAAUUGAAUACAUCCCUAGUUUUUUUUUAAAUCUGGAGAGGAUUUGUACUCCUCAAUUAUCUCAUGAUAAAAGUUUGUUAUGAUGAAGAAAGUUGAGGCUCCGUAAAAUUAAUCGAUAAUAUAGGGAGCAGCUUAAUCACUUGUAUGCAUAUGCAAGGUCCUCUUUUAUCUUAUGUGAAAUUCAUACUCCCAAUAUGUAUCUUCAUGUGUGUCAAAUUUUUAAGUUUACCACAUGAAUAACACAAACCAAGUGGCGUGGAGCACGUCAAGUAUUAGACUUCACACAUGAGACAAUUUGGUCUGAUACCAUGACGAAAGUUGAGGUUCCAUCGCCACUUAGUACUACGGUCUAGUGGUAUUCCUCUCCACUUGUAAGUGAUAUUUUAGGUUUAAUUCUCGCCAAAGGCAAAUUUGAACUGCAUUAUUGUUUGUCUAUUGUGAGUAUAAGCUCAUCAUCUUUCCCUCAGUGUAAAUAAUGUCGUUUGUUAAAAAAAAUAGUUGAGAUUGAAUCAUAAAACUAAUUGACAAUAUGAAGAGUAACUCAAUUACUUAUAAGCACAUGUAAGGUCCUUCCUUACCUAAUAUGAGAUCCAUAGUCUCAACAUUUCACUGUUAAGCAAAUAUGUACAAAAACAAAAUGGAACAAAUAAUUCGAUCACUUGACAAAAUAGAACUCAUUGAAGACAAUAUUAUGUUUGUUAAAAUGGAAAUGGAGCUUCGGAUUACACCCAACUUUUAUCUCCUCACCCAACGAACUCUUUUUACUCUACAAGAUUUUAAAAACUUAACAUCUACUCUCCGCACUCACCAAAUCUACCAAAAUUACCCCUUCCAAAUCAUUCUCCAUCUUACACGGUAUAUCUUCUCAUCCAACAACCUCCCCUUCAAUAUUGGGUGGCCGAACCCACUUUCCUCCAUCAUUAUUCAUGAAGCUAUGCACACUCUUAUAAGGAACAUGAAACCAGCAUCUCUUUGCAACUUCUUAUGAAUUAUGUCUUUAUUUGCGUUCAUUUAAGUUGGUGGUUAGCCAUCCAAUUGUUCUUCCCCAUCAAUUUUUAGAAGAAAUCAAACCAAAUUAGACUCGAGUGUUCAUAUAUUCAUUGGAGUUGAAUAUAACAAUAUGUAAAAUUCCAUCGAAGCCAAAUUGUAUCAAGACUUUGUAACAGCAGCAUGAAGGUCAGGAGUCGACUUGGAGGAGAAGAUCGCGAGCGGGUUCAGCUAGCAUUGGUUAACCGAACCCCCGAUUCCAUGUUCAUGGCUAUCAACUAAUCCUCAACUCUUAUGUUCGGUGCUUAAUUUCUGAACACUGAACUUCCUGUCAAAUUUCGUGUUCGGCAUGUUCAAAUACAUGAUUCAAUCUAGUUGUAUUUUAUUGAAGAAAAUAGAAACAAACCCACGAGGAGUUCAGAGAAAAGUGACGGCUUAGGGCAGAACAUUGCAACUUAAACGUCACUUAUAUACUUCAAGGAUUUUUUGUCACAAUACCACCUUACAUCUCAUUUAAAUUAGCUAGCUAACAAAAGCCUUCAAGACCCCAGUUGUUCUAAGCAACUCUAAACCUCACACCAAAGCAAAUCUAUCUCAUCUCUACAUUUGUAAUUUUGGAUUGAGUCGACAUAUUUGGCCGUUACAAAUUCAGAAAAAAGUAAGCCAUUACUUUUGUUUAGUGCAAAAAUUGGAAGCUAGAAAUCAGUAUAGGCAUCAACACUCUCCUUCAUAUUGUUUCUAGUUUUAACACCAGCAAAUCCCUGAGAUAAACAAAACUCUCUUUUAGCGUACCCUUAGUAAAUAUAUCCACAAUUUGAUCCUCGUAUUUGCAAUAGAGUAAUUCAAUCACAUUAUCUGACGUACAAAGGAUCUCUAAUAAAGUGAUGGUUCCUCUUGACAUGUUUUGUUUUUUUUAGUGAAUCAGAGGAUAUCUUGUUAUAGCAAUUGCAAAGGUGUUGUUGAAUUUUAGUGAUAUAGCAUCUACUUUGAAAACAUAGCUGGGUCGAGGAACCCAAACCCAAUAGAUAAAUAAUCUCAACUAAAAUUUCAAAAGAGGAUUCAAGUACGGUUUCAAUCAUACUAUGUAACAGUGAGGAACAAAAUGAAAUAGAGAAAAAAGAACAAAAGACUCACGAUAUAAUUCAUGGGCACACAAACGAUUAAAGAACCAUUGAGAAAUAAGUACUUUUACAAGACUCAACAAGACCGACAUCUACUACACUUGAAGUUUUCUCUUGUACUUUUAAUCUUGUAGCACACAGUCUUUCUUUUGCUCUCUUUUGGAUGAACACGACGCACUUAGCAGGUUCUCCUCACAACUAAAGAGAUUGCACUCAACUUCGUCACAUAGAUGAACACAACUUCUUCACACAAAUGAAUAUGAUGAAUAAUAUGAAAGGUAUGAAGUGUUUCACUAAGAUCACUCUUCUAACCUAGCACUCAAGAACUUUGCUUUAAACCUUUUAUGCUCAAAUCUUAUAACCAAGCAAAGAUGAAUGAUAGGCUUGAUUUCCUAUGAAACCAACAGCCUAGAAUAAAGGAAACUGGAAUUAUGUACUAGAAUACAAUCAAUUUGGGUUUAUUUCUUAAAACUAGGCAAGUAAACUGAUAUUAUAAUCUUCAAGAUAUGCAAUGACGUGAUUCUCGUUUCCUAUAUGAAUGCACAUUGUCAAUGCAAAUUUUCAUCAUCUUCAGUCUUGAUGAAAAUGCAUCUGCAAAACAAUCAACACCUUUGAUCAAAGACCAAAGUCUCACACGCCCACGAGGUGGGGGGGGGGGUUAGGCCAAUGGAUCUCCGAUGCCUAAGUCAGUUUCUCUAAGGAGAAUAAAGUGUUUAGGGCUUUUUUAGGGUAGCAAAAGCUCUGAAAAUUUGGUAGAUUAUGGGGUAUUUAUAGGGAUAGGGCCGGCCAUAGUGUUAGGGUUUUACCAUACACAUGACGGCAUCCUAUUGGCCAAGGUAUUUAUGGAGAAAUAUUCUCAAAAUAUUCUCAAGAUAUUAAAUAGGAGAUAAUAGAGUAAUUAUCCCUAAUUUAUUUAAAUUGGGAUUACUUGAUUAGAGUCAAUCUUCAAUUGGGAAUGUAUUAAAGAUAGGAUUUGGGUAAUUAGUCCUUAUCUUUAAUUCCUUGCCAAGGGCAAGUGAGAUAUGGGCAGUCUAAUUCAGCUGCUGAGACCUUCAGGGGUGUGAGCUAAGCGUGAGAGCAUAUGAGAAGCCUACCCAUUUAUUAAGGGAAAUCUUGUCUUUCUUGAGAAAAAGUUCACGUGUCGCCUUUAGAAUUUUUGAGAUUAUUUUAGGCUCCACAAAUGUCACGCCCCGAUCCCGACAUACGUCCAUGAUCGACACGUGAUGGCACCAAAUAUUUGUAUCUCAACAUACCCUGCCUUCGGGAUAUGGCAAAUCACGACUUGAGAAUCGAAUUGCAUAGUAAUUUUUCAUACACUUUAUAGCUGCAUCUAACCUCUUUGUUAGAUUGCCUAUGUACCCUAAACAAGGAUCAAGCCAUUUGUAGUUCAUCCUUCAGUAUGCUCGAACAAUCAUCACAUAAAUCGUUAUGUCUCAACAAUAUACCACAAUGCAUAAUAUGCAAUAUUUCAAAGAACAAACGACGAAGCACAAUCAUAUUCUCUAAUCAUUUUGCCAUUCACCCACACCUAUGCAUUCCAACAUCAUCCAAUAAUCACCCCAAUCAAUAACACAUACCAUACACCGAAAUGCAGGGCUAGAACGACACAAUUCGGUCGAAGCCUACUUCUCUGAAACUAAUAUCAAAUCCAAGGAACCAACAAGUCAAUGGAUACGAUUUCAAACCAUUACUCAACAGAAUCGCAGAGUACAAGGGAUUACGGACCAUCACUUAACAGAAUCCAAGUGGAUACGAUUCUGGACCAUCACUCAACGGAAUCGCGGAGUAGAAGGGAUUCUGGACCAUCACUCAACGGAAUCCAAGAGGAUACGAUUCUGGACCAUCACUCAACGGAAUCGCAGAGUAUAAGGGAUUCCAGACCAUCACUCAACGGAAUCCAAGUGGAUACGAUUCUGAACCAUCACUCAACAGAAUCGUGGAGUAGAAGGGAUUCCAAACCAUCACUCAACGGAAUCCAAAUGGAUAAGAUUCCAGACCAUCACUCAACAGAAUCGCAGAGGACCAAGGAACAUAUCAACGGCUCAAGCAAACAACUCAUGAAUCAAGUGCUCAAUUUACAAUGGCUCAGCGAAAUGAAACAAAGCACAAGUAUUAAAUUAGAACGGUCAACGAAGCGAGAAAUGAAAUAAUGAAAUGGGAUAUGAAACAAGUUUUGAAGCAACAAACCCCAUGGUAAUGGGUUAACGGCCCACUACUAGCCCUCACUUUCAUCAUAUCAUACCAUCUAUGCAAAUCAACCACAUUUCAAAUAUGCACGUCAAAUCACAUAUCACACUCAUCAUUAGUACACAAGCCAAAUCAUGUUUAAUAAACUUAAGUCUAUGGCUAAAUAUAUAAAAUCACAUUUCAAUAGAAAUCACAUUAUAAAACCAAGUCAUAUUCACAAAUGAUACUAAUAUAAGAAAUCAAGGUAAUAGCCAUAUCACAUAUGUUCAAGUCACUCUCUAACCAAUGUAGACCCACUAGACUUCACUUAAAGUCUCCCGUAGUACUCAUUUUAGUAUUUAGAACUUUUUGAGACAUGUUGACCAAAAGUCUGACUUUGGUUAACAGUAGGGUCCACAAUCCUACAUAAUUCGAUCCGGAAGAUCCGUAUGUUGGAUUUCGGAUCCGUAACUUCUAAAGGUCCAUAUUAUGCUCAUAGAACAACAUAUUAAAUUCUCAUCACGAUUUGACAGUCGAAUCUCCAUCAAUUGCUAGAAUUAGGUGGCGGUCGACAUUUUAUUUUACGAAACUUACAACCCAAAUUCGAAAAGAUCCAUACGUCGGAUUCCCAAUCAGUAAAUUCCUAAUAUCCUCAAAUAUUAUGUUCUAUAAUAUAUUAAAGUUUGAUGAUUAUUCAACAAUCGGAUCGUCAAUUCACAUAAUAAUCAAGUGGCAACCUCUAAUAAAACUAUGUUCAAACGAUGAGAUUUCGUCAUUUGGACUUCACAUAUGAACUUGGGGUAUCAAAUUUAGCCUAAGAAGGUCAAGGGUGCCUCGGCCCACGUGUCGCCGCCACACGCUGCAGCAUACGGUGGCCGACCGUCCCAACUCGCUGAAAAAUUCAACUAAUUCCAAAAAUUACCAAAUUUCACAUAAAUGAAGAUCUCAAUGAUUAAAGCAACUUUUAUACUCAUGGCCAAGUCCAAUUUGGCUUGCACUCUUCGGAACCCUAGAAUGGUUGAGCUUCGAUUCUCCUUCCUCGGUGUUUUGACGCCCCUACAACUAAUUGGGUCUUGUUCCUGGGUCCAAGGGGAGUUGACUAAGAGUGGUGAUGGGUGGUGUAACUCGCUGAAACGGCAGAAUCGCCGUCGAGCACCUCCAGUGCUCUGAUGGAGUUCCUCACGAUUUUGGGCCUAAAAACCCUCAAAUUUCGGUAGACAUGGUAGAGGCGAGGUUAUCGACUAGUUUUCAGGUGUUGGAUUGGUGAAUUUUGCCUGAAAAAUGGUAGAAAUUGGCCAAAAUUAGAAUCAGGUCGAAACCGAUUUUGUCGUGGGUGUGGUCGACGGUAAGAGGAAGGUCCUCCUCCUGAUUAGCUGCCCCCACCUUUCUUCUAAUUGGUCCCUCCCAUUUUUUUCUGAUUGGUACACACUAACUCUUACAUGAUUGGCCUAUUUCCCACAAAGUGAGAAUUAUUUAAUUAAAAACUAUAGUUUAGUAAACGAUUCAAAUGUCCGUAACUAUACUGUUAUAAUCCGGACUCAUAAACGGUUUUCGCCUAUGCUCUCAUGGUUUCAAGAUCUAUUUGAAAACAUUAAUUAUGACCUCGAAAGGUCAACGACCUUUAAAUAAUUAAAAUCCAAACUUCAAACUUCGUAGCUGGUUUAAUUAAAAUCUAAAUUCAAAUAAAUUAAUAUAAAUUCCUGAAAAAUAGUAUAAAAUCUCAAUAAUAUAAACACGUAGAUUAUAACAGUGAAAUCCAGGCACAGGCUGCACGUAGGAAAAUGAUAGUAGGUGUAGAAAUCCCAAACCGCUUGGCUUGUAAAGUUGUUUCCCAAUUUGAACUUGAUCUCCUUUCUAGUUUUGGAGAUAAACCUCUUCUAGGAAAAGAAAACCAAUUGCCCUCAAUACCUAUUUAAUUCUACCUUAAGCAAGGAAUUAAAAAAAUUUGGAGAGCAAUCAUUAUUCCAAUAAGGAAAAGAACCCAAAGGAAAUUUUUCUUCCCCCUCCCCUAGCUUUCUUCUUCUCUUGCCCUUGCAAAGUCAUCUCUCAUUGUUGUUCUUCUUCUCCAUGCCGCACCAAGGUAAGAAAAAUUUGAAUUUUCUUUUGAAUUUUUAUGGGAGUUUUGGGAUUUGAAAAAUUGGCUGAGCAGGGGCCGAGAAGGCGUGAGUGGCGUGGCAAGGAUGCCACAGGACUGCUGGUGAUGCGGUAAGAGGGUCGGCUGGCCUAAGCCAGGGGCUUGGGUUGGCUCGGGCCGGAAGGAUCGGCAUGCUGGGGCGCGAGGAGGCCGGCUUGGGUCGGGUCUUCAAGGCUGCUGAGCACGGGCCCUUGCAGGCGAGAGGAGCGAGGGAGAGAAGGAGAGGCCGGCUCGGGCCAGGCCUCCCGCUAGCAUGCUGGGCUGAGGGCCUUGGGAGGAAACUUUGUGAACUAAUUAAUUAUUUAGGGCUUAACUCAAUAGACACAUUAGGCACAAAGCUAAGCACUGGUCUAAAUUAUUUACUAGCGUAACAUUCAACCACUCAUGCACAACCCAAUGACUGUGUUUCAUCAUGUAACCACAAAAAUACUUUGAAAAUGCAGUUUUCUGUUUAGUAAUGAAACCGCAACAAGCUAUGGUUUCAAAUCCCUUUUGAUCCAAUCAGUCGUUCUUGUUCAAGAUUUGUCAGAGUCUCGAUUGCUAUCGUCACCACUAUACAUGCCUGAAAACACAAACCAACAAUGUAAAAAACCUGCAUAUGAAGGUACGAGGGCUAUAAACUAUAAACGAGCUCAGGGUAUCAUAAUUCAUAUACAUACUUUUGCAGGUUAUAUUGAAAUAGAACUAAAUUCGAUUCCCCCUCCCCAAAUCGCUUGUCUCCGUCUAGUUUGGAGACACACAAGUAUUGUCAUACUUCUUACUGGAACUUACCCAAACAUAGUUGGAGACACGCAAGUAUUGUCAUACUUCUUACUCAAACAUAGGUGGAGAUAUGCAAGUAAUGUCGUAUUUCUCACUCAAACUUGGAGAUAUGCAUUCUGCAGCUGUUUAUAUUAAGUGUUAUAUUUGCUUGUUAGGUCGACAUUUACGAGUCUGAAGAUUAAUUGAUCCAACAAUGUUCCACCAAAAUAGAUGAAUUAGCACAAGCAUCUGAACUCCUUUGAAUCUAUUAAAAGAUGUCUCCUUGUUCUAGCAAUUUAUUAAUAUCCCAUCACGAACAUCCAUCCGAUACUCUACGACUCACAACCUACUUUCUCUCCUCUUUUUUUCUUUCUCAAAUCUAGUACAGGUUGUAAUGAAUGUAAAUUUAUGUAUAGCAUAUGCAGUAAAACAAAACAGCAUAAUCAGACACUUAAAAACACAUAAAACUGAAUUAUCCCACCAGCAGUAAACAGUUUUAAAAAGUAGAACACUCACCUAAGGUUUUCAGUAGAUCAUAUUGCAAGGACAAUUGAUUGCUAAUUUGUUGAAAUGCCAUAACGGCUGCGAAGAGCAUCAAUUUGUUUCUCAAAGGACUGCGAAAGCUCAGCAAUUGAUGUUUUGCAAGCUGAAAAGUAUGAAAUACAACCCAGAGAAAAAGUACUCAGAAUGAAUAACAGUAGUUUAUACAUUGUUGGCUCAAGAUAGAUUGUUAGUUUGUUACCAAGCACUUAUAAAUCUUAUUAAUGACUCCUAGGAGGCAAUUUAUUAUUUGUCACUCUUUUCUUGUUUGUUCAAUCUUCUUUCUCUUCUCCGCAGUUAUACAAUAUCUUGUUUUUGAUCAAUGAUUCGCUUCUUAGAACAAAGGCAACAAGGCAAACAAGAAAACUCAAAAGGGACAAAGCCUAAAACCCCACCUGAACAAGCUCCAGCGUAGGGUCGGGAACUAAUUAAAAGGGAGCAGCGAAGAGAACGAAAAAACAGACACUAAACGGAAAACAAAACAGCUAACAAACUGAAGAACCUAAGUUAGCACACUAAAUAGUUAGCCAUUAUUGUCCCAAUAGUUUUAAUAGCAAUGUGAAACUUAACAGAUAAAGAAAUGUUAUCCAACCUGUAUCACUUCGAACAUGAGAUUAAAAACGAUUUCCACAUAUGGACACAAUAAUCACUUGUCAAACCCUCAAAAUGAACGACGUCUCUCAAAUGUUUUGAUGAUAAUGCAACAUAGAAUGUUGGUUAGUAGAGAUGAUUGAAUCCAGACUCCAUCAGUACGACAUUAUUACCAAGACAUAACUUACAAAAAAUCCACAUAUUUUAAGCAUGUCAGAGAGGUUUUAAACUGAAGACAUACCACGAGAAGCGGUGGUCUGUGCAUCUGCCAUGAACUCUGCAUAUGAAGCCUGAUAAAAAAGCAGUAGGAUGCACUUGAUGAAUAAGCACUACAAACAUACAAUCAGAAGUAAGUAAACGAAACAAAGAAAGACUAGAUUAAUAUACCGCCAUUGCUUCCCGACUUUCAGUAAUCCUUUGGGUCAUCUUCUUGUAUUCCUUAUCUGCUUCAUCCAACACUUGUUGGCAUGCCUGGCUCUGGAUCUGACGGCACAAAGAGACUUAUAAUUAGGUGAAAAAAACGUGCCCUAGACUGAAUUCUAAUGCUCCUCUUCCCUAACUAUUACUACCACUGAGUACUAGUUCAUCAUACAGCAGACAAAACCUUAUUUUAAAUAGACAUUAAGUUUUAAUUAUAAUUAAGAAUUAAUUAGAUUUAAAUUUAUUUUGCUUUAGCAGACCUUGUAACAGUAAUGAGAUUUAAUUAUGAUAUGAAAGUGAGAUUAAAUCAACAUAAUGUUAUUACUUGGCGAAAAUUCAAAUUUCUGUUUUCUCAGGUAUUUUCUCAGCAACCAAACAGACACUAAUCCACCAACUCAGAGUGGGAUCUGUCGACGUGGAGCUUGAUAUCGCGGAGACGAGAGGAGGCGAGGUGCUUGAGAUCAGGAAUCGAAGCUAAAGCGUUACUUUUGGGGGAUUCCAUGAGCGCCGCCACAACAGAGGCUGAGGCUCCUCCUCCGGCAGCGAAGGCCUCCCUCUUGCGCCUGCUGCUGGUAUUGAAAAUUGGCGAUUUCGGUGACGGUUGGUUUGCAGGGGAAGAAACCACUGGAAAUUGUAACCGCGCUUCCAGAAAGUUCGCGGUUAAGCAUCUCCGGGUUCGACUUCCGCUUCCACUUCCGCCGCUUUUCUUCAUCUCUCCGGUCGCUUACUCGUCUUCUUUCAGUUUUCCCUCUCUCGGCUCUGUGUUUUGAAAAUUUCAAAUUUUCUAAGAAAAUGGAGUUGGCCCCCUGACAGGUGUCUAUUUAUAUGUACGGGAUUUUAUAUGCAAAUUUUGGGCUAACAAAAUACAGAAAUAAAAAAUAAUAAUUGUAUCGACCUUCAUUGAAUUUUAUCAUUUCCUUUUGUUGGAUAUUAUUUGCUAACUAAAAGGUGAAGUUGCAAAAUGUACACGUUGCAUUUGACGCAGAGUGAAAUGUACGGAUGAUAUUUAAUGAAACACAUAUUAUAUCUUCAACAAUCUUCAUUAUUAUUUCGGUGCAUCACGGGUAACGUUGGAUUUGGUAUAUCAUUUUAAUAACAGUUAUGGUACUUGAAACACCAUAAUUAUGUGUAGGGGUGGGUUCAAAAAACUGAAAACCGAAAAAAACCGAAAACCAAACCGAACCGAAACCGAAAAAAUCGAACCGAACCGAAUUGAAAAAACCGAACCGAACCGAAUUCUUUUGGUUCGGUUCGGUUUUAGUGAUCUAGAAACCGAACCGAACCGAAUUGAUUAAAUUAAUUUUUUUAUUUAAUUAUUUGUUUUGGGUAUUAUUUUCUAAACCCAAUUUGUAAGUUAAAAUGUGCUAACCCAAUGUGUUGCCAAACUUUAAGCUCAAAAUAUUAAAAAAAUGCCUAUAAAAACUCUAAACCCUAACCUAUUAUUUCUCCCCCAUAUAAGGUUCCGGAACCAAACCUCUUCUCGAAGUACCUACAUCCAUCUCCAUAGCACUGUCUACUUCUGCGCCAGCUUUCUUUUCCAAAUCUACUCUCAUAUAACAUGUAACAUAAUCCAUAAACAUUUAUUUCGGGUAGAUUACUUGGGUAAUUUGUGAUGGAAAAGAAUCCAACACACACUAAAUAAAUCCAUCCACGCAUUACCUUUACUAAUCAAGUUGUCAACAUGCAGUUACAAGCAAACAACACUGAUCUUUGAACAACAUCAUACAAUUUAACUUUUCUAAGUCAUUUGUACGAUUUUUGUGUUGUGAGGUUGUUAGUUUGGACUUUGAAAGACUUGAUUGAUGAUUUUAGUUCAACUUUAAAUGUUUAUUUUCAUUGUUUUUUAUUCUAGUUAGAAUGUUUAUGUUAUGAUUGUGUUGGAUAUGUUAAAAUUUAAAAUUUCAAUGUUUUUCAUUUUUUGAAAAAAAAUAAAAACAAAAAACCGAAACCGAACCGAAAUCGAACCGGAAAAAACCGAACCGAAAAAAAAUUGAACCGAACCGAACCGAACCGAAAUUUCGGUUUGGUUUCGGUUUUGGCAAAAAACCGAACCGAUUUAAACCGAACCCACCCCUAAUUAUGUGUAUUGUGCAGAUUUGGAGGGAACUCAAUUUGUCCGCUCCUUACACCUGAAUUCAAGUUUCUCGUACAUAAGGAAUAUUGCUUUGUCAAAAAGAAAAAUGUGUAGCAAAUUCAAAGAACUAUGGAGCUUUUCAAUUGCAAGAAAGAUUUGGCAAUUCUGAAUUCAAUGUAAUUUCAAGAUCUUUGAAUCAAAUGAUGCAUUAAAACAUGAAUUUUGAAAUGAUGGAAUUAUAAAACUAGAACGCAGAAGUUAUAGGAGACUAGGAGUUGGUGAAAUUUCUUAUUUUUGUAUGUCACCUCCAGGGAAGGACAUGCAAUAUACAUCCCUCCCACAAGUCACAACAUGCAUCCUACAUUUCAAAGUUUCUGCAAAUGUCCUCUCCGGAUCUCUGUGUUCGAGCAAUGCAAUUGUAUACGGUAGCGAGCAGUCAUUGCUUCAACACCAACGUCCUGCAGACUGCAGUAGUCAGUAUACAAUGACUUUGCAUAUAUAUUGAGGACUUACUAAUGUCUUAUGGAACCAACACCCUCCUGAUUAGCACCGUGAAGAUCUGGGAGGUCAGCACUGACGGAGAACUUCAUCCACCUCUUUCUCUCGACGUAAGUGAGACAGGGCUGCAUCACAAGGCCGAUCAAUAUAGCGACAAGGCUCACAACCACGAUCUUAAGUGUCGAAAGAGCCAAAACUACACAAAUCAGUAUGGUUGGAGGAAUACACAUAAGAAUGGCUCCAACUGUUCCAACGGGUAUCUUGUAAGGACGAGAUGUAGCUGGGUACUUCACCCUUAACCGUAUGAAUGAUAUAAACUCCAAAAUAAUUUCAAAACAGUACAACAAGUUUUCUUCAGCUACAAUCUCUUGGAAGCUCAACCAAGAUAACUAAAGGACUCCAGAAGCUGAGAACAAAAUGCCAAUCACUGAGGUUCCAUGACGAGACCGCUUACCAAAAAACUGGGGGAGCAUCCCUUGUUCUGCCAUCCCAAGAAGUUGGAAGGAGUCGCUGCUCAUUUCAGCAACGAACAUCCCCAUAUUCGACACUGCUGCAGCUCCUUGGAUCCACCAUCUCAACCAAACUCCCCCAAUAAUCUUAGCGAUAUCUGAGAAAUAUCCAUUUGUCCACAACUCACGGUCGAGUGGAACAGCCCUAGUACCCAUUAAGAGCGGGAAGAAAUAUCCAAGAACAACUAAUAUCAAAGCAUAAAACAGAGCCUUUGGGAGAGUUUUCUUUGGUUUUUCUACCUCUCCAGCAAGUGUACUUAUCGAGUCCCAAUAGUUGAGAUUCCAGAAGAGAGUGUUGAGAUACAAAUUCCAGUCCACAUUGCGUAGAUUUACAACUAGCCAUCUCGAGGGCUUCACCUUGGAGUCUGCAGGUCCACAAUGUAAAGCUGCACUUCAAGAAGCUACUCGUAUUGUUAGAGCAGUUCCACCGUGGGAAAGGCCCCCCCAGGCAAUACACUAUGUUAUCCACCCAGUGAACAGUAACUGCCCUUAAUGAAUAGUAAUCGCCUUUUGCAUAUCCACCGUUGCACUUCAAUAGCCCUGGCACUAGGUAAUAAACUAUUAGUAUUUUUUUUUAUUUAUAAUUAAUAUUAUAUUACUUAUUUUGUAUAAAUUAAUAUUAUAUUAUUAAUUUAUCUCUUCCUUUUGAAAUGUCUUCCUAGAAACUUCUACCAUUUUUUUUUUGCUGCACUUCCGACACACAGCAGAGCAGCACACCAGUGUUAAAGUAGCAGGUGUGGCAGUCGGCGAAGGUGAGGGAGAGAGAGGGGUUGGACCAGAAGGCAAAGGUGAAGUAGGAGGUGAAGUUGGGGUUGCAGUACUCCGGGGCGGCCAGGACUGCGCCUCUUCCGAGGGGAGUGGCAGAGAGCUUGGCAAUGUCGUCGACGAGGAUGAGGUCGGAGUCGAGGUAGACAACGCGGCGAACGCAGAGGGGGUGAAGUUCGGUGAGGUAGGAUCGAGCAUAGUUGAGGGGGCAGUUGAGGGCGGAGCGGAUGGAGGUGGAGAUGAGGCCAGAGACGUCGCCUAGAAAAGCAAAGGAGAGAUGGCUGAUGUCGCCCAAAUCGAAAAAAAAAUUUAAAAAGGCGUCUGACGUCAGACCCACCUCAGGCGCUCGGGCAGGCACGAAUCCACGGGCCUCUCCCUCGGGCCUGCUCGGGCUCCCUCGCCAGCCAACGCUGAGCUUCCUCCCUCAGGCAAUCAAGCCCUGCUCCGUCCACUGUCCCUCGAGCAACUCAUCCCGCUGGAGCCACUCUUAGUAAAGGCAGUUAGUUAAAGAUAAUUUUCCCAUUUAUCAGUUUAUAUGAUUGUAAUUAAUUGUAUGGUUCUUUAAUUAUUCUUAUUCAUUGUAUUUAGAAAUUGGAAGUAUUCUCUAUACCUUGGAAUAUGAAGGGUCAUUGUACAUCUUUAUAAUGUAUUCUUUUCACUCAAAUCAAUAGAGGAAAAUCAAAAACUUCACACAUAUCAUUGAACAAAGUCUUACAGCUAAUGGAAAAGCAAUAAGGGCGUUGUUUGGUGCAAGCCAGGUUGGAAUUUCACACUUUGCACCCACCAUUUGCAAAUCAUGAGUCCAGUUCCCACCGGUGGGAUAUUAUUUUUUUUUUCACUUGUCACUUGCAUAUUGACCAAGUCUAUGUGCAGCUUGAUAUGAUGGUGACUUCAUGUAUUUUCUGACGGAUGCUGCUGUUAUAGCGGUUAGUUUAUCAAAUUAUUGAUGUUUAUUUGCUUGACACUUUGCAAUUUCAGUAUAGAAAUCCCAAUAGAGUGAGUUGCAGAGGGGCGAGAGAGUGAAUUGCAGAGUUGAGGGAUAUAUAUGAAAGAGAGGGAGAGUAAGUGAGAGAGAUUGAGAGUAUUGUUUGAGAGACAGACAAAUUUUUGGAUGGUGGAAACGGUCCGGGUCGAGGACUCGUUUCCUCAACAAUUAGGACUCGCCCCGCCCCGUCCCGUUUCAAAUUUAAAAAAAAAUUGGACCCGCCUCGAACCGCUUAAACCCGCCCCUACCAGUGGGUCCAUGCCCCGUUUGUCCACCCCUAAUUGUGAUUGUUGUUGGAUAUCAUAUAUUAUUAUUACAAUGUCCAGGAUUUGGGAAUUGUUAUACCUUUAAGGGAGUUUGAGGUUCUGCCGAAAUUUUAGUAUAAUUUGUAGUGUUUGUUUGACUUUUUUUAUUUUUUUCAGCAAAGAAAAAUACCCGCGGACCGUGUCGCUAGUUGAAGAAGGUGAAGGUCACCCAACUGACUAACGGACGUAUCACGAUCGGACACAAUGACUGACAUCAGGCUACACCAACGCUGGAGAAACAUAACGCAUUGGCCCAUGACAUUGGUCACGUCGUUUGGACCUAUUGCCCUAUGCGAUAGAAGUCUUGGAAGGCAAUGUCAAACGAGGUGAGGAUGAAGGUGCGCACUUAUUUGUCGAUAAGUAUCAUGCCUUUUUAUUGCUUUUUCUUUAAAUUUUAUAUAUUUAUAUUACUUAAUGUAUGUAAUUAAUUUGUUACAUUGCAAACGAAUUACAAUUUCGACGACAUCAACGACAAUAUGUUGGCGUACAUCAACAGGCUCUUCACUGAACGGUACAAGCAGUGGAAAAGAGACAUGCAGCAAUAUUUUCAGACAUUUGAUGAUCCGCAAGUCACUCUUGAGGAGGGUUGCCCAAAGGAGUUUGAGGAUCGGGAAAAAAUUGGAUGUGGCUCCGCAAUCAUUUUAUAUUAAACUUGCGGAGUUUGAUCCGCAAGUAUUCUUCAAUUAUAAUUACUAUCUUACGCAUUCAAGUAUCAUGGUUAUUAUUUAAAUGUUAUUAUUAAUAUUUCAUGUUAUAUUAAACUUGCGACGAUGAUGGGGAAGAGGUAAUUGGUUCUUCAGGAGUCUGCCUCCCAGCUUCCUCUCGAGACUCUGCUUGAGUCUGUGGAUCCCCCCCGAGGAUACGAGGUUUCAGAUCCUUACAGACACCUUGGAUCAGACUCUCGGAUGAAGGCUGAGGACGUAUUGUAGGGGGAUGGGGAAUGCUCGACGGCGGGAACCUUGAGCCUUUUCAUCCUCCCAGUCGAAGGGUGAGGUGACAGUUUUGACAGUAGAGGUGGCCGACCUUAGGAUUGAGCUCGCCUUGUAUAAGAGCCAGAUGUCACUAAUUGUACAGGCCCUCAGUAGUUUGGCAUUAGACUCCCAGAUAUUCGUCCCUUGUCAAUGUGCUAGCCCCUCCAACCCAAGCACUCCGCCCCUUCAACCUUAGAACCCCGAGCCCUUCUUGCCCCGAUCUUUCCAUCUACAUGUGAACGACGACCCUGUAGAUUAUUCCACCUUUUUUUUCUUAGUUGUUUAGUCCCUAACUUUUAAAACAUUUUCCUUGUACAUACAUUUUAUUGUUAUUUUAUUUUUAUUUUAAAUAAAUUCGUUACAUUUUUUUAUUUCUAUUUUAUUUUUUUAUUUUAUUAUAAAAUUAAACCCAGAACAAAAAAAUAUAAUUUUAAAAAAAUGUUUUUUUUUUGCGGGACGAAUAGCUUCAUCGUGCAUACUUUUUUGCAAUAACUCACUUUCGUCGCGCAAGAAUAUGUCAUCGCACAAACUUUUUAGACACGAAUAUUAGUCGUCCCAAGUUUGUAUCCUGGCAUUUUGUGCGACGAACAUAUUCGUUCCUAAAACUUUGGUGCGACGAAUGAGGAACCAUCACACCUUAUUUUCCGCGACCAAUGCUUUUGUUCAUUGCGCAAAGUCUUUCUUCAUGAUCUUUGCACGACAGAUUUUGCGCGACGAAGUUUUUGUCUUGCAUACGUUUGUACGAUGCUAUUAAGCUUUGCCCGACCAAUUUAUGUUCGUCGUGCUAAAUGUUAAACGUGGUGGUGAUUGAUUUUUACUUUAAUUUGAGUCUCAACUCAAUUCAAGUUCAACAAACUUUUAACAAAAUAGGGCUGAAAAUUUUAACUAGAAUGAACGAGUCAAGGAGAUCUCAAAACCAUAAAUUACGAGUGGGUGGGAAGAAUAUUUGAGUGGUUGUAAUUGUUGCUCCAUAUGAUCCUACAGUAAGCAAGGCUUCUAUCAUUGUGUGUGAUUAGUUUACUUUUGUGUUCUCGAUCGCUUAUAUAUCAUUGUGCUCUUAUUGGUUUGAGGAAAUAAAGGCUCAAACUUCCUGACAUUUUCAUGAUACUUCAAAAAAUCCAUUGAAAACUUACUAAAUUGUCUAACAUAUGGGCAAUUUGAUUCUUACUGUUGGAGGACAGAUCAGCAAUUUUCAGUUAUACUGCAGAAAGGAAGAAUACAAGAGAAUAUAUAUGGAGGAUGACUUUUGAACGGCGACUGAAAUUUAAUUUUAUUGCUUUCAAUUUUUUAUUACAACACUAGGCCAUCUUAUUAUUGGCUAUUUUUUAAUAACAUUCAGACCUUUUGAUAACAGCUAUAACUCUUGGAUUAGUUCCAAGAGACAUAACUCUACAUUACAGAAACUGCAUUACGUUUAACACUUACAUCAUUGACAUGAUCCUAGUUGAUCUAAGGUUCUUACAUAUAUCCUCCUUAGGUUCCUGAGUAAUCCUCUCUAGUUCCUCCUGAAAUCUCUCCAUGGCCGAGAAUGGCAAACACAUUGGUACCAAUAUUCCAUCCUCAGUGUUGUUUUUGUGUUGAACGUAGAAGCUAAUCAAAUCCAAGGCCUUGGCGGGUCCAGCAAAUACCGGUUGUCCCCAUCCAAAAUUGACAUCUCCAAAACCUGCACGCGUUGUAUCAGAAACUAUAAAAUAACUUCCUGUCGAUGAAUAUUGAGGUCGCCCUCUUAGUACCAAAAGAUCUGCCACUGAUCUUAAGUAUUCUUCAUUCAUGGUAGCUUUAGCCUUCUUCACCAACUCCAAAGCAUAUCCCAGUGGAUUUUUGCAUAGAGGUUCAGCCUUUGAAACUGCAGUUGGAAAUGCAAAUGCAUUGCCAUAGUAUCCCAAGGGAAGACGUACAUUGUGGUGUUUUCCCCGUGCAUUGACAACACAUGAAAAGCGAACAGCCUGGUUUGGAUUAAUUUUAAGUGCAAGAGUGCGACAUUUCCACAAACAAGCUGUGAUCAAGUCAAAUGUGGAGCAAGUGGAAAUUAGGUGGGGUGGAAUCUGUUUUCGAAGGACUCUCAUCUCUUUGGCACCAAAGUAGAAAGAUCGUUGAACCAUGUUUGACUGGUUACUGGAUGCGUAUAAACCAUCAGAAUGAUCAAUCACGUCUUCAUAUUCAUGAUGAGCACAUGUAAUUCUUGGUGGAUCUCGAGCGAACAAGAGCUCUCUCUCCCACACUGGUAGAAUAGAUGGUGCAUGUGCGCCUCUUGCCAUCUCCGCAAUGGCAGUCAGGAACAGGAGCAAUCCAGGUGCAUCACACAUUGUGUGGUUUAGGCGCAAUGCAAGUAUGAAACCUCCACAUAUAAGACAGGUCACCUG
rnacentral:lncRNA from 1 species